AUAACCGUUUUACGCCUAUAUUCGUAGUAAACAAAGAUGGCGACCAAAUCUGGGAUGUAUUGGUCCCAGCGAUGGAUACUUUUACUGAUAACUAAUCUGCUCGGCGUGGUGGUUGCUGAGCGAUAUGGAUCACAGUCCACCACCAUACAUACAGCCAACAGCGGCCGAUCACGCUUAUAUGAUGCCCGGACGGCCGUCGUAGAAGCUGACGUAAGCCUAGAAGUUGAACGUCUUCACCGAACUCGGAGAUCAGCCACUGUUCCGCCCCCUCUAAAUAAACACGACCCUCAAGUCACUGCGGUCCAACUGAACGACAGUCACAACCAGAUGAUCGUGCACUGGGCGGGUGUCGGAAGUGAUGUGAUUCUCGCACUCUCUAAAGAGAGCCGUCCCUUCAACGAUUCCACCGGCAGCAGCAACCUGUUUAUCUCCUACAACUAUGGCGAGAGCUUCACCAACGUGGAGUCCAAACUUAGGCUGCCGUCGGGCAAAAAACCCAUCAUUGAUCAUUACUACAACAGCAAAGUCUUCAACAAUUUUUACGUUUUCACGGACAUCGCAAAUAACUACAUAUUUACGACAAAAGACUAUGGACAAAGCUUCACACCGUACAGUGUUCCGUUCCGGCCCAAAACUAUCGCCCUUCACCAUAGCAACCCCGACAUACUCCUCGGCACCGACGAUGAUGAGGAAAAUAAGAAGGUUUACAUUUCCGUGGACUUCGGGAUGAACUGGAGACUGAUGCAGGCGGAGGUGAAAGCUUUUUUCCUGGGUGAAGCGCCAUACGACCAGGCUAACGACACUUACGUGGAGCGCAUAGAGAGCAGCGGGAAAAGCACGCUACUGAGGAGCUCGGACUAUUUUUCUCGUGAUAUCACUACGCUGAUGACCGACGUGGAAGACUUUGAGAUCAAGGGCGCUUACAUGUUUGUCACAAAGAAAGUGCACCUCCUUGGUGGUCCAGGGGAUAGCCUUCAGCUGUGGGUGUCAUACAAACGAGGGCCUUUCCACAACGCCCGGUUCUCUCACAGUGCUGCACACAAGGACUACUACGUAGCUGAUGCGUCGGAGGACAUGGUGUUCCUGUGUGUCAAUCACGGUGAUAACACCACCCACUUGUACUUGUCCGAUGUGGAAGGCAAGAAGUUCUCACUCAACCUGGAGAACAUUGUAUAUUACAAUCCUAAGGGAGCAAACAAGGACACCUGGCUGAGGUACUUCGCCGAUGAGGCAUUCGCAGACCUGGCCAAGAUUGAGGGUAUACGAGGCGUGUAUGUUGCCUCUCAAAUUAUGAAUGUCUCCACAGACCUGAGUCAGGAAUCACAGCGUACGCUCAUCACAUUCGACAAGGGUGGAGAGUGGCAGCUGGUCAAGGCUCCAGCCACUGACCGAUCUGGCAAACCAACCAACUGUACACAGAUGUUUCUUGCUAAGGACUUUCUCCAGGCCAUCAACUGCUCCCUUCAUCUAGCCCAGAAGUACAGCAGGCUGUUCCCUGGAAGUCGUGCGAUACAGAUCCUGUCACGGACCAACGCCCCGGGGAUCGUGCUGGCUACUGGAACCCUGGGAAUGAACCUGAAGCGUGACGCUGAUGUCUACCUGUCUAGUGACGCUGGGUACUCCUGGCACAUGGUGCUGGAAGGUCACAACUUCUACAGCAUUGGUGACCAUGGAGGCCUCCUGGUGGCUGUACCUCAGUUUGGAAUCACUAACCAACUCCUGUAUUCCUGGAACGAAGGCCAAACCUGGGACAAUAUCACAUUCCACACGGAGAAGAUCCGGGUGUACGGCCUCCUGACGGAACCCGGAGAGAAGACAGCUGUGUUUUCUCUGUUCGGCUCUCAUGUGGGUCAUCACCAGUGGCUGAUCAUCCAGGUCAACCUGACGUCCAUCUUCAGUGGGGAAUGUAGUUCAGAGGACUAUAAGGACUGGUCCUUCCCCGACAACCCGCCCUUUGCUGGCUGUAUCCUCGGCCGUAAAACUGUGUACCAGCGCAGAAUUGCACACGCAUUCUGUUACAACGGCCUUGACUACGAACGCAAGGUCACACAGAACAACUGCACCUGCAACCGCGAGGACUUCGAAUGUGACUUUGGAUUUAAGCUAAAUACGUCUGGUCUAAUAUUGGGGCUAGGUACUUGUGACGAGGAUAGGGAUUCCUAUAUCGACGUACACGCUAUUCCUGUACCCUGUCCUCCCGGGACCUAUUACAAGUACACCAGAGGAUAUCGCAAAGUUUCCGGGGACAUGUGUAAAGGUGGCCUGGACCACAGAUUCUCGCCUCUCCUGUACUCGUGUCCAAUCAGAGAGAUCCCCGAGUUCAUUCUGUUCUCAACCCGCUUCACCAUCCACCGGUUCAUCCUAGGAGAAAAUCGUGACGAACUCCUGGUACAACGCGACUAUUCCCAGCAACACAGCCUGUUUGCUGUUGACUUUGAUUACCGGGCCAACUGUCUGUUCUGGGCCGACGGCUCCGAGAACAUGAUUAAGAGGAUGUGUCUGAAUGGUUCGAGUGCUGUGGAGAAUAUCGUCACACGAGGCCUGGCCUCUGUUGAAUCGCUGGUUUUUGACUGGGCGGGGAACAACAUUUUCUGGAUUGAUUCACAUAACCGUACACUUGAGGUCGCCAGGAGCAAUGGUGACUUCAGACGCACCCUCCUAAACAGUACACAUCUGGACCAACCAAGAGCCUUGGCACUCGACCCUCACCACGGAUGGAUGUACUGGACGGACUGGUCGGAUAGCCAUCCACGGAUCAGUAAGGCCUGGAUGGAUGGUAAUACGAGCUCAAUCAAAAUUAUCGUCAAUGGUUCCUCCAUCGUCCACUGGCCUAACGGUAUCACCAUUGACCACCGCAUGGAGCGAAUGUACUGGACUGACGCUUUCCUCGAUCACAUAAUGUCUGCCGACUUGGAGGGUAAUAACGAACGAGUGAUUGUAUCAGGAAGCGCAGUCCCCCAUCCCUACGCCAUUGGCAUGUACAAGAACGUGCUGUACUGGACGGACUGGUCAAGGAAGUCGAUCAUGAGUGUGGACAGCACUGACAACACCUACAUCCGGGCCGUACUGACCAAUGUGUCCGACAUCAUGGACUUGAAAGUCCUAUCACACCAAACACAACAAUUGGAGACAGCGUGUAGUGGAGGAAAUGGCCAGUGCUCGCAGCUGUGUCUACCGAAACCACCGACCUCCAUAAUGAACGAAAAGAAUCGCACCUGUCGCUGUGGUAAUGCUGUUCGGCACUCAAUCAUCAAUGAUGGAAAUGAACGAUGUCUCUGUGCUGUAGGAGAGAAGGUGGACGUUCAUACUGGGGCCUGCCAGUCAGCCAAUACCUCGGGAGAUGGAUCGUGUGGAGCCCAGGAUUUUGCCUGUAGCAAUGGUAAAUGUAUUUCUUCCGCGUGGAUUUGUGACCGUGACAACGACUGCGGAGACUUCAGUGACGAGCUGGACUGCACUAUGCGCGGAUGUCCUACAGGCAGUUUCAAAUGCAAGUCGUCUAACCGUUGUAUUCCGGAGCGUUGGCAUUGUGACUUUGAUAAGGAUUGUACCGACGGCAGUGAUGAACUACACUGUAAUCACACCACAUGUGCGUCAACAAUGCACACCUGCGAUUCAGGACGCUGCAUCCCUAAAAACUGGACCUGUGACUUUGACAACGACUGUCACGACGGCGUCAAUGGGUCUGUGUCGUCGGACGAACGCAACUGUUCAUAUAAUGAUAUUUGUCUCGCUAAUGAAUUCCACUGUGAGGCCCACCAGCCUAAGUGUGUCCCUAUUGGAUUGAGAUGUGAUGGCAGAAAUGAUUGUGGUGAUCGGUCUGACGAGAAGAACUGUACAACCUGCCCUAGUGGGGAAUACCGCUGUAAAACAGGGGCCUGUAUCUUCAACAACUGGAAGUGUGAUGGCGACGCCGACUGUUCAGAUGGAAGUGACGAGACUGAGGAUAUCUGUGGAACUACACAUGUGAUGAACACCACCACCACCCCAACGCCUCCUCCAACGUCAUGCCACUUCUGGCAGUUCACCUGCCACAACAGAAAGUGUGUUUGGUGGAGUGAGCGCUGUGACCAGGUCGAUGAUUGUGGCGACAAUAGUGACGAGUUCAACUGUGGAGUGCAGACGACGCAUGCUCCGAUAGUCUGUCGACCCAAUGAGUUCAAGUGUCGAAACCAACAUUGUAUUGGCAUGAAUCUACGAUGUAACGGUCACAGCGAUUGCCUUGACGGCAGUGAUGAAGACCGCUGUUAUAUGAGCACGACAUCACGGCCGGUGGUCUGCAAUGCUGGUCAGUUCCAAUGUGACAACAAAUUGUGUAUUCCCACCUCCUGGGUGUGUGAUAACUACCCUGACUGUGACAACGGCCAGGACGAGAAAGACUGCAAUGGUACCCAGGUGUGUGGCCCUACAGAUUUCCGAUGCGAGAUGGUGGAGGGUUGUACAACCUUGAACCGCGUUUGCGAUGGCGUCAACGACUGUGCCGAUAACUCAGAUGAGUAUAAUUGCGGAUCAUCCACCCCGGCAGUUACACAGAAACCGGGCCACUGCACCGCGUGUGACGCCCAUCACUUGACCUGUUCGAGGUACUGUAAGUGUGUACUUUGGAUGAAUACCUGUGACCAGAUCAGUGACUGUUUGGACAACUCAGAUGAGAUGCUGCCCAGUUGUCAGAAUCGUCUAGUCAAUACUGGAUAUAUCCAAGACAUUGACAGCGACAGUGACAGUAUAUCUAUGAGAUGGAAUCAUUUGUUCGCGGUCCAAGUGUCCUACACGGUCUCGUUUAUCGAGGCAAAUAAUGAGGGGUCGUAUCAGAACAAGAGUGUUGGGAACGCCACCAAGUUUACAAUAUCCAACCUACGACCUCUGACAUCAUAUCGUAUAAGGGUAUACGCCAAAGAGAAUGGUGGCCUGGAAUUCCCGUUCACCGCAAGGCGUGAUUACGAAACUAAAGAAGGAGUGCCCGACGCCCCUGUGAACUUUCAAGCAAGUUACAAUGGUCAAGAAAAUUACUUCAAGCUCCAGUGGAAGCCCCCUGGGAACAACAGUGGCGUCAUACGACACUACACACUGUACUACACCACCACUGGGUCAUCAAAACCUAUGAUUAAGAUUAUACCACUCGUCGCCUCCUACAGACUUUACAUUCCCACUGAGACAGCAGGCCUCACCUAUAAAUUCUGGAUUACAGCAUCUACAAAUACGGGGGAGGGAAAGAAUUCUAAGAAAGUGACUUUAACUUUGGACGAUGAACUGCUGGUGACUGGAGUUGAGAAUCUGACGUUGACACCUGGUCAGUACAGUGUGUCCCUGGCCUGGUCCAAGCCUAACAGUAAAGCUACGGUUACAGAAUAUCAAGUCAUGUACAACGAUGCACUGGGGACGGAACAAAUACUGAAAACUAACGCCACAACUCUGCAAGUGCCCCACCUGUGCCCUCACCAAAGAUACACGUUCCACGUAAAGGCCAUCAACGGCCACGGACCCAGUCCUCCUGUGUCGCACGCAACAUCUACAGCUCCAGGUUCAGUCCACUAUGUAACACCUACCGACCUUUCCUGUGACAACGUUAGCCCUGGGAACUACAAAAUCACAUGGAAAGCCCCCAAAACAGGUCCUGCAAAUGUGACCUAUAUCCUGUACUACGACUACUCAGCUAAAGACAUGCAGUUGAGCAACAUUGAGAGCCAAGCACACUCCGUAACAGUCAAAGGAAACACCUCGUAUAUGCUGACAUCACUCCGAGCCUGUGAGACUUACUUCUACAGAGUGGGACUCAAGUAUCCAGGCACAUGCAUGCCUGCUGACCAGACUUAUUUUACAACUGAAGCUGAUGACAAGGCACCCCCUAAGAACGUGGACUUCCGACUGGAUUACAGGACGAUGACUAGCGGGAAGUUGAUGUGGGAUCCACCGUGCCUGAACGUCAAUGAACCCGAUAACUACACUGUGUACAUCUUUGAGGUUAACACCAGCCUCUCAAAUGCCUUCCUGAUGCGGUCAACAUCAAUGAAUUUCACUGACCUAAAGCGUGGCGCCACCUACAAUUUGACUGUCCGUUCCAAUUUCUUAAAUGCCAGUAGUUCAGAGCCCUGCAUCUUCAAAAUCCCUGCCUUUGGGGCCCCUACAGUGUUCCGAGCCCUCAUAGAGAACAGUGGUAAAGUGAAACUGGUAUGGCAGGCACCCAAGGACGCUCCCUCGGACACACAAUUUGGGGGGUAUGACGUGUUCUACAGUCGACACCACCACAUAGAUGCUAACGGCAUUGUGGAUCACAGUCAAAAAGAAAAGUUUACAUUCCAUCAAACAACUACGGCUAUGUUCAUGGAGAUAGCCCUGGACGGCACUUACGAAUAUCUCUUCAAAGUACGCUAUGCCGCAGUCAACCACUACCCGGGCGAGUUUACAGAGCCGGUCGAGGUCGCAGCAUCAGGAGUGCUGAACCUCCCAGUCAAUCAGGCGUCUGUGGCCCUGUCUAAAAAGAACCUGAUCGGGAUAUUUGUUGUCGUGGCCGUCAUUGUUGUCGCCCUCGUUGUUGUUCUCGGUGUUUUCAUUGUACGCCAUCAUCGUCUACAGCGUAGCUUCCUGUCCUUCGCCAACAGCCACUACGACACACGGUCGGGAACAACCACCUUCUCCUCCGCCAAUGAGCUUGGUGAGGACGAAGACUCCCCGAUGAUUCAAGGCUUCUCCGAUGAUGAACCGCUGGUUGUGGCAUGAUCUGGUUGCUGAAUAGUCGAACCCUAGAACAAAUCCAAAUAUUGCUAUCAUCAGACGUUUCGUUUCUCGGGAGAUUAGGCUGGAUAUUUGUCUCCUCUACCGACGUCAAACGCGUCGAAAGAUUUUACCAUCAGUAGGACAUCAGUCACUUUUGUGGUUGCCAUUCGCAUUCAUUUGUUCUCGUUUACCAAAGUUUAUUUGCUUUACGACAAUUUAACACAAACAUUAUAGAACUUGAGAAAAAGUCAUUGAUAUUUGGCAAGGUUUUAUUUAGUCCUUUCCCGAACAUUUUCAGAUAUACAUAUAUCUGAAUUUUAUGAAUAAUUGGUUAUUUUAAUGCCAAGUUAUGCCGAAUUACUAGAGAAAAAAUAUUUUUGUGAGUGCGAAGUACUAUUCAAGUCUUUCAAUAUGUUUCUUAUAAUAUAAAUGGCAAAACUAGGCAAAAUUUUUGCACCAGAAGGCAUCUCUUCUGAAAUUUGCUCUGCAGAGUUCUCGGAAAAUGACCGUAAGAUGGGAAAGAGUUAUAAAAAAACCUUUGCAAAUGGUGUCACAUGGAAACUUCACAUUCUGUUGAUAUCUUUCUGAAAAUAUUCUUUUACUGUGGAAUAACUAAGUCUAGAUCUGACAUGUUAUACAGGAUAUUUGUUGUAUACAUUACAAAAUGUUUGCAAUUUGGGGAUCUUUGACAAGAGGAGUCGUGUCCUUGGACAGCUACAUGUGUAAAAUUGGAUAUUCUUGGACAGAUUCAUGUUGGGUGUUCUUGGUUCGAAUUGUCAUUCUGAGAUUAGCUAACGCCUGGUGCUGGUGCGCCAUGCCCAGUGCCUCAAGCAUAAUAUACAGUCCCUCUCUAACAGUCAGGAAUCUGUAGAAAGGAACCUUGUUAGUCAGGACAUAUCUGUUUACAGGAACCUGCCCUAUAGGAAUUUUUUAAAACGACCGCAAAACAUUGUUUGUUGGGGCUCAUGUUUCUUCAAAACAACUUUCAGUUAAGACUUUUUUCCGAUUUAUGGGGUCGAUGUUGCAUUAUAUUUUUUUCGGAAGUUGGCUUUAAAUCUGAAAAGUCAGAUCAACAAGGUUCCUGAAUGGGUGGAGAUAAAAGUGUUAAGGGUGUCCAUUAUUUAGAUUCCAGCAUCUCUUCAACGCGGAGGUUAUAUCUAUAGUUUGGAGUGUGACUGUGACACGAAAAACUGAUGUGAAUACAAAAAAUUAAUGGUCGAGAGUGAAAGAUAAAAUGUGAACUUUGUGAUAUUCUUAAAACGGUUCCUGAGUGUAAGAUUACGUACAUAUCACAACCUUUUCUCCUCCCUCGGGUCAAGGGUCAAACUUACUAUGAACUAGCGUGUUUUUGUUUUGGAGGACUAUUAUUUGAUAAUGUUUUACGUAAGUUGCCAAGGGGAGACAAUUCACUGAUUUAAUCAUUCAAAAGAAAUUUCCCAAGUUUUAUUCAAAACAUUAAAAUUGCAAGAAUACUUGAGCUGGAAGCUGCAUCAGAACUUACGUGACCAUGUGUUGCUUCUCACUGGUUAGCUUGUUGAUCUGAAAAUAUGGGUUGUCUCCCUUCUAUGGAUUGUCUUCCCGAAAUGGUUACGUCCUUAACGUGGGUUGUCUCCCCUUAGAUUAUUGUGGCGAUUUGAAUGUUGGAUCCCCUGGGAGUACAGAGAUUUGAAAUUGAUCUGUUUGUUUUAUUUUGUCAUUUUAAUUCUGUUGAUACAAUGAUCUUGAUCUGAAAUAUUAUGCUUUAUUAAUAUGUACUGAUGUUGGUAGAUGUUUUCGUUGAAGAAUAAUGGUGAGAAUUAUUUCUUUUGCCAUAGGAUCAGUUUCACGAAAUUGAAGAUUAUCAUUAUGUUCCUUUAGUGAUUUUUGCGAUUUAUUUAUCAUGGAUCAUAUCACCUGUCUGUUUGUUUAUAUUUACCUUUUGUGCAUUUGUUUAUAUUUACUGUUUAUAUUUACUCUAUGUAUGUCUCUUCUGAGAGAUGGUAUAUGAUAGAUCUUUGUUUUUUUGUUUAUUGUCCACACGAAACUAUAGUCACACUUCGUUCUAUUAACAUGAAAAACCUGAAUCUCAAAACAGGAAGAGAUCUGGAUGACGGUCGUGUGGCAUGCUCAAAGGAUCACAAGUAAAUUAUUCUUUAUUUGGCUGACUAGUUUCCCUUCCAAAGUUGAGGCUAUGUGGGGAUAAUUUUUCAAUUAUUUAGACACCUUAUAUAUUCUAUAAUGGGUUCCCAAGUGGUCAAAGUAUAUGACCGUCUAUAUUAAAUCACUAGCCCUCCACCACUGUGUCGCGGGUUCAAGGCCCACAAGGGAGCGGUCACCAGGUACUGUUUGCAGGUCGGUGGAUUUUCUCUGAGCACUCCGGCUUCCCUCCACCACCAAAACCUGACACGUCUUUAAAUGACCGUAGCUGUUAAUGGGACGUUGACACGAAAAUUACUGCGAUGGAGAGUCUUGAAUGUGGUCUCACACAGCUUCGACUGUUUACCACCCUACAUAAUCUACAAAGUUUACUUAUCGCUUGCUAAGGCGCUUUAACUUUAUACAAGAAGAUGUGACUGUAGUUUUAGUCUGGAAUCAUCAAAUGUUUGAGCUGGGUUAAUUUUUUUUUCUUACUGUGUUGUAUUUUGUAACUUUUUAUGGUGAAAAAAAAAUAAAUGUGCCAUUUAAGGAACCAUUAAGAAACCUCCACUGGUGUCUUCCGUAUUAGAUACUGUAUACGGGAAAAUCUUUGCUGCAGCUUAAUUUUCACCAUUUUCGCGUAAUGAGGGCGAAUAAAUUGUUAGAGAGAAAAUCUGUUCACAAAUUUAAAGAAUUUGCAAUGAAUAGUAAACAUAUUUAAUCAUUGCAAACAGUGAAAUUUUGUUCAACAUAGUGGAAAUAUAUUUUUUGUCAACGAAAACACUUGUCGUUUUUAACUGGUGAUAAUUUUUGUUUACGAAGGAGUUUUUGAAAUGGUUCGUUUGGAAUUUAGGGGAAAUUUGGUAUCCAUUGACUUCCCUUAUCAUGAACCUAAAGGUUUUACACGACCGGUAUAUUGAUCGCCAGUAUUGGGGUGGGCUUAUUCAUGAACACCAAUUUAUCACAGAUGUGGUACAGUAAUGACUAAUCUGAUAAGUGCUUUGCCAUGUUAAAGUCCGGGGAAACAACUGAAGUCAAUGUCUGGUAUGACCUAUACCUAGCAGAUCCUUAGCUUUCCCCGUAUAUAUCUUUAAUUACAUUUUCCAAAAAUGAGAAAUUACUGGGUUUAAUUAUGACUUAUUUUUAUAUAUUGUUGGAAUGGUAUAUAUAAUUAAUAUUGACGAAAUGGUACGAUUUUGAUGGUAAGGUGUUGCCAUGUGAAGGUGCAAUUCCGACAGUACAAGUCACGAUGGAAUUUCUGGUCUCUGAACACGUCUGUUUAGAUAGGGCUAUUUUUGCCUCAGAGAGUGUCUGUAUUUAAUGAAAUGUGACUUUGGGGUAUCUGUGUUUUAGGGGAGGCAUGGCCUGUCGUUAUUAGAGUUUUAAACAAGACCUUACAUAGUAGGCCACUUAGGUAUGGAUGGGUGGGAGAGGUACGUACAUACUGUAGUCUAAAGAUCGUGGGCGUGACUGUUCUAUGAACGAGGCACAGUCAACCGUAACAUAAUGGGUGUGGCUGUCCGUUAAGUGAUUUGGCCUGCAGACAUGGCCUAAUGUUGUCGGCAUUGGCUGUGAAAUUGAUGCGGAGGGCGCAGCCUGCUGAUGUUAGGCUUGUCUGUGAAAAAGGCAUAGUCUGUUGACAUCAGGUUACACUUUUGAAGAUGUAAGUGAAGAAAGGUCUGAGGGGCGUGGCCUGCUGACGUUAGGCUUGUCUGUGAAAUAGGCAUGGUUUAUUGACAUUAGGCAAGUGUGUAUGAUUGGAGAGGCGUGGCCCGAUGUUGUGGGCGUUGGCUGUUUUAAUUGAUGUGAGGGGCGUGGCCUAAUGUUGUGGGCGUUGGCUGUUUGAUUGAUGUGAGGGGCGUGGCCUAGUGUUGUGGGCGUUGGCUGUGUAACUGAUGUGAGAGAGCGCUAUUAACCAGAGAACAGAGGACUCCAAAGAGGGAGAUCACAGAUCUGUCAUUGACAUAAAAGUUUAUUUUUCCUAUACAUGUCAUUUGUUUUUGUUUUUUGAAAAUCUUUGAUGGAAGCGAGUCUAUAUGUACAGGAUAUAAUGUUAUUGUGCAAAACAAAAUAAAAUCGCGUCAUCGUGUAAAAACUCAUCAUAAACACUCAUUUCCCUGUUUGCCUGUAACCUCAUGUGAUGCUAUAGGUCACUAUAUGAAAGCAAUAUUUCAAUAUAAAUAUUCAGUGGCUGAUAUUCAGAGAUUCAUCCUGAGAAGUUUUCCAUGUCUUAGAAAUUUUGAGAAAAUUUUGUGAAAAAUAUUUUUUUGAUUUUAGAAAAUUAACAUGUAGAAUUAAGGGGGCGGGUCUAUCCUAAACCCCAUCUAACACAAGCCCUAUGGAUCAGUCUCUGCUAUCAUAUUGUUUUACUUGCAAUUACUGCACAUACAACAUGUAUAUAUAUAAAUGUACCAAGAGAGAUACAAAUAUUUAUGAAAUUGUGUUUAACUCAUGCACCCCUACAUUUUCAAACUGGACUUGACCAGUCUUUGAUUUGGCAAGGUUCAAAUGUGACUUUUUGGGGUGAAUUGUGUUUAAUAAUUGCAUGUUUCAAUCACAGUGAUUGACUUUUACCGGUAUAUGUUUCUAUCCAUGCAUUGUUUAUUUGAUGGCUAGUAAAACUACAGGAUAAGUACAAUGUACUGAGCUGUUUUGACAAAAUUUGAACCCUGUCUGCAAAUAUCAUCAUUAUGAGAGAAUGAAAAGCAUCAUUAUAAACAGGUGGUCUUUAAAGCAAAGGUUUAGAUAUAGAAAAUACCAUUUUGGGGCCCAAAUUCAUGAAACCAUUCUCAUGCUCAAACUCAGAUUCUGUGUUCUUGUUACAGUGAUAAAUUGGUAAUAAAUCACAUUGUCCGUGAUUUGGAAUAAUUUUUGGAGAAACUUCAAGCAGAAUAUGGUUAUAAAGGUCGACUAUUUACUUUUUUAAAUGAUUUAAAUAACUUUUGACAAAAGUUUGUUUGAGCAAAGAUUCCAUGCUUGAGCUUAAGAACAAUUAUGAAUAUGGGCCCGUGUCUUCUUUAUACAGUAAUUGAGGUGGGCGUUCCUUACAUUAUAGACAGGUGGUCUUUAUAGAGAGAUAUUCUGUAUAGACAGAUGGUCUUUAGAGCAAGUUAUAAUGACAUGGAAAGCACAAUUUGGGGUAUUUUUGAUGAUUGAUCAUGUUAUUCAUGAAUUCAUUUAAUUUAUGGGGGGAAAAUGAUUAUAAUAAAUUCUGAAAAAUUACCAGCAACUAUCUGUAUACAGUAAGUAUAGGGUUGAUUUUGAAUAUUGUUUUGAAGUGUGAUCAUUAUCAGGAUAUGCGAGACAGAAGAAUUUCCAAUCAGCUUACAUUUGAAACUGUCUGGGUAUAAACAGUAUGGCUGAGACUGUUAAAUGGUACUGUACAUACAAUGUAUACUUAUAUUUGUGUUGACAAGCCAGCCUGGGGACUGUUGUCCUGAAGUCUGUACUCGGUACAAUCCGGUGACCUGCUGGUCUUACUUCCUUUAUUUUAACUUGUAUUCUGUACCUGACAUGAUUCAGCCUUGUAGCCUGUACUCUGUACAGUCUGAAGAUCCUUUGCUUUGCUGUCUAUCCAGUAAACUCCAUAGAUCAUCAGCCCACUUGAUCGCUGUACCCAGUAGAUUGUCAGCCCUGUUGUCUGUUCCCGGUACAGUCGGUUAAUCGUCAGCCCUGUUGUCUGUUCCCGGUACAGUCAGUAGAUCGGCAGCCCUGUUGUCUGUUCCCGGUACAGUCAGUAAAUCGUCAGCCCUGUUGUCUGUUCCCGGUACAGUCAGUUAAUUGUCAGCCCUGUUGUCUGUUCCCGGUACAGUCAGUAGAUCGUCAGCCCUGCCGUCUGUACCCGGUACACUGGUCCCAUCACCGAUGCUAGCCUAUCACUGUGUUUUUGCUAUUUCUGUAUGAUGUGUAGAUGCCUGUAAGAUAUACGGGCCAAAUAUUUGUACCAGUGCCACAUCCAAGUCCUCGACAUCUCCUGGGAUUUACCCCGCCACACUCGCACAAUAUAUAUUAACUCAUUCACCCCUUAAAAUUUCAUAAUGGACUUUUCCAACCCGUAAAUUGGAAGAGUUCAAAUGUGUCUUCAGGGGUGAAUGAGUUCAAGGGUUUUCUCCCUUUUUGGAUGAUUUCUUUUCUUUUUGAUAUUCACACCAUAUACUCAAUUAUAGUUCUUAUUGUUUACUCAGAAAUAAUAUAUUUAAAAAAAAUUACGGUGUGUAACUGUCCGCUUUUACAUCAAUGUCUGUAAGGCUUGUGUGUUGGGGGAAAUUAUUCAGCAGGUUUGGCAAGGACUAGCUGUUUAUUCAAGCAAUUUCUAGCCAGUCGUUGUUCCUAGCAUUGUUGGUGAGUGUAAGGAGCGACACAUCUGGGUAGAGAUUGGUGUUGAAGAUGUAUUUGGUUUAAUCCAGUCCACAAAGAGGCUGCCCCUCUGCUCCAGUUGCUGGACCUCUGUGCUCCAGCUGCUGGACCCAGAGUCAAUCGUGACGGUUGCCGUUCCGAUGUUGAAUUAUUUGUGGCAUUGGUUCUAUGCAAUAUGUUAUGUAAAACAUUCCAUUAAUAAAAUCGUGCUAAUUCCAUCAGAA
rnacentral:misc_RNA from 1 species